UUUUUUUUUUUUUUUUUUUUUUUUUUUUUUUUUUUUUUUGCGGCAUCGCCAUAG
rnacentral:ribozyme from 13 species